rnacentral:lncRNA from 1 species
GCAGUUGCCGGUGAGGAUGGGCCGGGAUCAGGUCCAAGUCUCACUGUCUUUGCUCUCGACCUCAUUCUUCCUGAAGAUGCCUAAUGCUCCUCCACCUCCUCCUAAGGACAAGGAUAAAGAUGGAGAUAAGAAUGGAGGUGGCCAGUGUGGGUGAUCACUGAUCAAGUUUGUGAAAAAUAGGAGCUUACCUCUCAUGCAGCAUCACCACAGCUGCUUAUGUUAUGUAGGUGAUUAUGUUGUGGUUCUUCACUGUAUUUGUGGCAGUAAAGAGGUGAUCAAGUCAUUUGGAUUGGUGGGCAGAGAAGACUAUUCAGAUAGGUGCGGAUGUACUGAUCGGGAGGCAAAUAAGGUGAGCGAGAUUGGAUGGAAUUCAUUGCAAUAGCGUAUUGGAUGACUACCAAGUCUGUGUGUUGUACCUAAAUUACACACGAAAUGGGCUCAUCUGUAAAGUUUCCAUGCCAUAUAUGUGAAUAUGCGAGGUGCCAAGAGAGAUG